rnacentral:miRNA from 1 species
UAUUUGGUUGGUGCAAAAGUAAUUGCGGUUUUUACCGUUACUUUUAAUUGUAAAAACCUCAUUAACUUUUGCACCAACCUAAUA